GAUUAAGCAACCGUACAGCGCUAGGCACGAGAGCUUCUUAUUGCUUGGUGACAAGAUUAGUUUCAAGUACGAGCUGAGAUAUGGAAAAACAGAAGUAAACAAGAACAUCUGGAUCAUCCGAUCACGGUUAUCAAAGACUGAUUUUACUCCACAUGAUAGAUGUUUCGCCAUUACAAACCGCUCAGCAGUUCAACUAUUUAAAGGUAGCAGACAUUCAAGACCAGGGCAUCACUCAAAAACAAAACCAGUAGCAUUUCUGUAAGAGGGGUAACUAAAUGGGACGACAUAAUGUUUUCCAGAUCGACCAAUCCCAGUACCAAGAAUCCAGCAGGUGGGAGAACAAAGAUUCUAGAUCUUGUUGAAGGCAACGAUGUCACACGACUGGACAUAUUCGUUGAUGGGCGCCUCGCAAAGCACUUCCUCAAUAAGAGUGUCGACGGACACAAGGUCAUCG
rnacentral:lncRNA from 1 species